rnacentral:rRNA from 1 species
UAAGGAAUAUUGGACAAUGGUGGCAACACUGAUCCAGCCAUGCCGCGUGAAGGAUGAAGGCCCUAUGGGUUGUAAACUUCUUUUAAACGGGAAAAAACCCCUUUACGUGUAGAGGGUUGAUGGUACCGUAAGAAUAAGGAUCGGCUAACUUCGUGCCAGCAGCCGCGGUAAUACGAAGGAUUCGAGCGUUAUCCGGAUUUAUUGGGUUUAAAGGGUGCGUAGGUGGACUAAUAAGUCAGUGGUGAAAGCCCGCAGCUUAACUGCGGAACUGCCAUUGAUACUGUUAGUCUUGAGUACAGUUGAGGUGGGCGGAAUGUGUCAUGUAGCGGUGAAAUGCUUAGAUAUGACACAGAACACCGAUUGCGAAGGCAGCUCACUAAGCUGUAACUGACACUGAGGCACGAAAGCGUGGGGAGCAAACAGG